rnacentral:lncRNA from 1 species
UUCAUUGUGAAACACUAAAAAUCAACAAAUUGGAAGAAGUCAGGUGUUGGGCGUUAAGAGAAACCAGCACAGGACUCCCUGCUGGCGUCAGCGUGGGUUGUGUAAAUGGAAGUGCAAAACGCACAAACUGCGCAGGGGCAAACACGCUCCUGAGGGUGUUGGCAUUUCCUCAACUCUCUCCAGGGAGCAGGAAACGGGACUAGAACGCUCCCCGCAACAUUUACAUCACGAGAUCUGGGCGGGGACGAAGCUAAAGCCUCCUUGUUGACCAAGCCCGGCCGGACGACUCUGAGCAAGCACCAAGCCCCAGUCCACACAGCCGCUUCCGCCCUUCCACCCGACCUCAACCGCAUGCCACCCCGCGUCAGGGCACCUUCCUGCGCCAUUACCAUUGUGCGGCUUCCCAGAGUGUUUCCCACGCAGCUCGGAGAUGGCAACGGUCACGGAGCAGGCGGUCCAGCCGGCAGCACACUUGGCAGCUCGCUCGGGGAGCGGACUUCCGCGCCUGGACGGAGAAAGAGCGCUCUUGCUACGGCCCACCUGAUUGGAAGUUCAUGGAGCCCGCUGAUUGGCUCCUGCUCCAUUGACCGCCCUCCGAGCUAAGAGUGACAGCGAAACCAAAUCCCUAACAGUGUGAGUGGACCCAAGUGACAGAUUGUAACCCUGCGACUUCUAGACCAGUGUCUCUGCCAGAAUGUCGCCUGACCUGCAUGUAAGCAGAGUUUGCUGUGGGCUUUGCAGGGAUGCUCCGGGUACCUGACUGGAUUCCGUGAGCUCUUCCUGUGCGUUGCUCCUGAAAGAAGGAUCACACGUGUGCGCAGACAUUUCCAGGCCUCGAAAAAUAAAUAAAUAUAUGCCAAAGAAUUUCUACUCAAGAAAUGAAGAAAGUAGAAUUAAAUGAAGGCAGUAUUCUACAGAGGAGUCAGGAUGAAAUAAAACCAAACAUUUCAACUGCUUCAGACAGGAUGUUUCUGCUUUAAAGAAAAUCAACCACACACUGCAAGAGUAAAUACAAGUAAACACAUAGAAUAUUAUGUUAUGUAUCAUACUCCAGGAAUUCUGACACAAGAACUUCUCAGGCCCUUGAAAACUCUGAAGUGAAAAUCCUGCACUUUGUGUGAUAAUCAGAUGGCUAGUGGUCAGGGUACUGUUGGUAGUUUCUCAUGAAAAAUGAUCUGAAAUCCAGAAAGACCAAGGAAUGCUCAAAAGCUGGAACUUGUGAAACUCACGUUUAUAACUGGGAAGUAGGUUGAAAGUUUAAGCCUCACCUAUUGUACCUGUGAAAAGCAGGAAAGAGGUUAAGACUUAGUUCAUAAUGAAAACAAAAAGCCUAUGUUUGUGUCAAUAUACCAGGAAAUUAUUCACUUGUAAGGGAGGCUAUUGUCUUCAUUCUAUGACAUUUAGCCUCAUCCUUGUCUAAACCUACAGGAUGCUAGUAAAUUCCACUCCUUUAUGCUGUGACAAAAAAAAGAGACACAUCUAUAUGUUUCCUGAGGACCAGAAUCCAUCCUGAUUGAAAAUCACUAACUGAGCAUCUAUGUGGGCUGAUUGAAAAGACACCCAGGUUGCUUCUCAACCAAGAGGAUUUCUCCAUUUCUCUACCUCCACACCACAAAUCAAGACGGGUCUUUCUUCCCAAAUUACUUCAACUCUGC